rnacentral:rRNA from 1 species
GAUGAACGCUGGCGGCGUGCCUAAUACAUGCAAGUCGAGCGAACGGACGAGAAGCUUGCUUCUCUGAUGUUAGCGGCGGACGGGUGAGUAACACGUGGAUAACCUACCUAUAAGACUGGGAUAACUUCGGGAAACCGGAGCUAAUACCGGAUAAUAUUUUGAACCGCAUGGUUCAAAAGUGAAAGACGGUCUUGCUGUCACUUAUAGAUGGAUCCGCGCUGCAUUAACUAGUUGGUAAGGUAACGGCUUACCAAGGCAACGAUGCAUAGCCGACCUGAGAGGGUGAUCGGCCACACUGGAACUGAGACACGGUCCAGACUCCUACGGGAGGCAGCAGUAGGGAAUCUUCCGCAAAGGGCGAAAGCCUGACGGAGCAACGCCGCGUGAGUGAUGAAGGUCUUCGGAUCGUAAAACUCUGUUAUUAGGGAAGAACAUAUGUGUAAGUAACUGUGCACAUCUUGACGGUACCUAAUCAGAAAGCCACGGCUAACUACGUG